UACAAUGGCAGGUACAGAGGGAUGCUACCGGGCGACCGGAUGCGGAUCUCGAAAGCCUGUCCCAGUUCGGACUGGAGUCUGCAACCCGACUCCACGAAGUUGGAUUCGCUAGUAAUCGCGCAUCAGCCAUGGCGCGGUGAAUACGUUCCCGGGCCUUGUACACACCGCCCGCCAAGCCAUGGGAGCCGGGGGCGCCUGAAGUCCGGGACCGCGAGGACCGGCCUAGGGCGAAACUGGUAACUGGGGCUAAGUCGUAACAAGGUACC
rnacentral:rRNA from 1 species